GAGGCAUACGCUACUAGAUGUGCUAGUCGAGUGAGCUGUAUCACAGCUUGCUGGAUUUGAAAGUGGCGCACGGGUGCGUAACGCGUAUGCAACCUACCUUAAUCUGGGGGAUAGCCCGGAGAAAUCCGGAUUAACACCGCAUAAAAACACAGGAUAGCAUUAUCCAAUGUUCAAAUAUUUAUAGGAUUGAGAUGGGCAUGCGUGUCAUUAGCUAGUUGGCGGGGUAACGGCCCACCAAGGCGACGAUGACUAGGGGAUCUGAGAGGAUGACCCCCCACACUGGUACUGAGACACGGACCAGACUCCUACGGGAGGCAGCAGUAAGGAAUAUUGGUCAAUGGAGGCAACUCUGAACCAGCCAUGCCGCGUGCAGGAAGACUGCCCUAUGGGUUGUAAACUGCUUUUAUCCGGGAAUAAACCUCAAUACGAGUAUUGAGCUGAAUGUACCGGAAGAAUAAGGAUCGGCUAACUCCGUGCCAGCAGCCGCGGUAAUACGGAGGAUCCAAGCGUUAUCCGGAUUUAUUGGGUUUAAAGGGUGCGUAGGCGGCCUGUUAAGUCAGGGGUGAAAGACGGUAGCUCAACUAUCGCAGUGCCCUUGAUACUGAUGGGCUUGAAUGGACUAGAGGUAGGCGGAAUGAGACAAGUAGCGGUGAAAUGCAUAGAUAUGUCUCAGAACACCGAUUGCGAAGGCAGCUUACUAUGGUCUUAUUGACGCUGAGGCACGAAAGCGUGGGGAUCAAACAGGAUUAGAUACCCUGGUAGUCCACGCCCUAAACGAUGAACACUCGCUGUUGGCGAUACACAGUCAGCGGCUAAGCGAAAGCGUUAAGUGUUCCACCUGGGGAGUACGGUCGCAAGAUUGAAACUCAAAGGAAUUGACGGGGGCCCGCACAAGCGGAGGAGCAUGUGGUUUAAUUCGAUGAUACGCGAGGAACCUUACCCGGGCUUGAAAGUUAGUGAAUGAUUUAGAGAUAGAUCAGUCCGCAAGGACACGAAACUAGGUGCUGCAUGGCUGUCGUCAGCUCGUGCCGUGAGGUGUUGGGUUAAGUCCCGCAACGAGCGCAACCCCUAUGUUUAGUUGCCAGCACGUUAUGGUGGGGACUCUAAACAGACUGCCUGUGCAAACAGAGAGGAAGGAGGGGACGACGUCAAGUCAUCAUGGCCCUUACGUCCGGGGCUACACACGUGCUACAAUGGAUGGUACAGAGGGCAGCUACAUAGCAAUAUGAUGCGAAUCUCACAAAGCCAUUCACAGUUCGGAUUGGGGUCUGCAACUCGACCCCAUGAAGUUGGAUUCGCUAGUAAUCGCGUAUCAGCAAUGACGCGGUGAAUACGUUCCCGGGCCUUGUACACACCGCCCGUCAAGCCUAUGGAAGUUGGGGGUACCUAAAGUAAGUAGCCGCACCAAGCGUCGUAUAGUGAUCUGGC
rnacentral:rRNA from 1 species